GAGCCAGCCAAUUAAUCUGCUUAUCUCAAUGUGCUUCUGCAGAUAUUUAGAAAAGGCGGGCAAUAGUGACGCCAUGUUACGAGCCUUAAGGACAGCUGAAGUCCUUAAGGUCCCUGAAAAUGGCUACAGUA
ensembl:snoRNA Snora33 small nucleolar RNA, H/ACA box 33